GAUGAACGCUAGCGGCAGGCUUAAUACAUGCAAGUCGAGGGGCAGCAGGGUGUAGCAAUACAUCGCUGGCGACCGGCAAACGGGUGCGGAACACGUACAGAACCUUCCUUCGAGCGGGGAAUAGCCCAGAGAAAUUUGGAUUAAUACCCCAUAGUAUAUUGAAGAGGCAUCUCUUUAAUAUUAAAGAUUUAUCACUUGAAGAUGGCUGUGCGGCUGAUUAGGAGUUGGCGGGGUAACGGCCCACCAAGCCUACGAUCAGUAACUGGUGUGAGAGCACGACCAGUCACACGGGCACUGAGACACGGGCCCGACUCCUACGGGAGGCAGCAGUAAGGAAUAUUGGUCAAUGGACGCAAGUCUGAACCAGCCAUGCCGCGUGGAGGAUGAAGGUCCUCUGGAUUGUAAACUUCUUUUAUAUGGGACGAAAAAGG
rnacentral:rRNA from 1 species